UAAAAAUGAACGUCGAAUAAGUUCGCUAUGUUUUGUAGCAACAUCGACAUCAUGCACAUCAUGUGCA
rfam:Bacillus coahuilensis p1.1.43 ABFP000039, whole genome shotgun sequence.